AUUCCAGCUCCAAUAGCGUAUAUUAAAGUUGUUGCGGUUAAAAAGCUCGUAGUUGGAUUUCUGCUGAGGACGACCGGUCCGCCCUCUGGGUGAGUAUCUGGCUCGGCCUUGGCAUCUUCUUGGGGAACGUAACUGCACUUGACUGUGUGGUGCGGUAUCCAGGACUUUUACUUUGAGGAAAUUAGAGUGUUUCAAGCAGGCGCACGCCUUGAAUACAUUAGCAUGGAAUAAUAAGAUAGGACUUUGGUACUAUUUUGUUGGUUUGCGCACCAAAGUAAUGAUUAAUAGGGACAGUUGGGGGUAUUCGUAUUCCGUUGUCAGAGGUGAAAUUCUUGGAUUUACGGAAGACGAACUACUGCGAAGGCAUUUACCAAGGAUGUUUUCAUUA
rnacentral:rRNA from 1 species